rnacentral:rRNA from 1 species
UACGUAGGCAGCGAGCGUUGUUCGGAAUUACUGGGCGUAAAGAGUGUGUAGGCGGUGCUCUAAGUUCGGUGUGAAAUCUCCCGGCUUAACUGGGAGGGUGCGCCGGAAACUGGAGUGCUCGAGCGUGGGAGAGGAAAGCGGAAUUCCUGGUGUAGCGGUGAAAUGCGUAGAUAUCGUAAGGAAGACCAGUGGCGAAGGCGGGUCUCUGGACAGUACCUGACGCUGAGGCACGAAGGCCAGGGGAGCAAACGGG